CAAAAACGGAUCAGUCUCCUGGCCCGCGGCAGUGAUUUCAGAGGCUGGCAGGGGGUAGGGGAAUCCUCACAACCCCCCCAUGGCAUACAGGAAGCCCCCCGAAGGGGCUAAAGUAGUGUGAAGAGUAGCUUGUGGUACUUCAGUUCAAGCCACAUUCUAUCCAAGAUUGAUGCCUCUACCCUCUGGGGCUGGCACAGUGUUUUGGUUCAGUGUUCCUGUGAUGAGAAAUACUUGUUCAUGUACCUGAGUCAUAGACUGACUGCUACCAAGGCUGCUAACUGGUGAACUACAUGGUGAAAACUCUGUGGUCAAGGCCUACUGCUCCCCACCCCACAAAUCUAUGUUCUGUAAAAAGAUAUAGGAUAUUGUUAUCCUAUUUUGUUAGUUUUGGGUUCA